rnacentral:rRNA from 1 species
UACGGAGGGUGCAAGCGUUGUCCGGAAUCACUGGGCGUAAAGGGCGCGUAGGUGGCCUGAUAAGUAGGAGGUGAAAUCCUGGGGCUUAACCUCAGGGCUGCCUUCUAGACUGUCCGGCUCGAGCACAGUAGAGGCAGGUGGAAUUCCCGGUGUAGCGGUGGAAUGCGUAGAGAUCGGGAAGAACAUCGGUGGCGAAGGCGGCUCACUGGCCCGGUACUGACGCUGAGGUGCGAAAGCGUGGGGAGCAAACAGG